rnacentral:rRNA from 1 species
UACGUAGGUGGCAAGCGUUGUCCGGAAUUAUUGGGCGUAAAGCGCGCGCAGGCGGUCCUUUAAGUCUGAUGUGAAAGCCCACGGCUCAACCGUGGAGGGUCAUUGGAAACUGGGGGACUUGAGUACAGAAGAGAAGAGUGGAAUUCCGCGUGUAGCAGUGAAAUGCGUAGAGAUGCGGAGGAACACCGAUGGCGAAGGCAGCCCCCUGGGCUGACACUGACGCUCAGGCACGAAAGCGUGGGGAGCAAACAGG